CCUACGGGUGGCAGCAGUGAGGAAUAUUGGUCAAUGGACGAGAGUCUGAACCAGCCAAGUAGCGUGAAGGAUGACUGCCCUAUGGGUUGUAAACUUCUUUUAUAUGGGAAUAAAGUGUUCCACGUGUGGGAUUUUGUAUGUACUAUAUGAAUAAGGAUCGGCUAACUCCGUGCCAGCAGCCGCGGUAAUACGGAGGAUCCGAGCGUUAUCCGGAUUUAUUGGGUUUAAAGGGAGCGUAGGUGGCUUGUUAAGUCAGUUGUGAAAGUUUGCGGCUCAACCGUAAAAUUGCAGUUGAUACUGGCAGUCUUGAGUACAGUAGAGGUGGGCGGAAUUCGUGGUGUAGCGGUGAAAUGCUUAGAUAUCACGAAGAACUCCGAUUGCGAAGGCAGUUCACUGGACUGCAACUGACACUGAGGCUCGAAAGUGUGGGUAUCAAACAGGAUUAGAUACCCCGGUAGUC
rnacentral:rRNA from 1 species